rnacentral:rRNA from 1 species
GGUUCCUUAAAUUGUACCCACAUUUACUUGGAUAACUGUGGUAAUUCUAGAGCUAAUACAUGCAAACAGAGCUCUGACCGGAGACGGGAGGAGUGCUUUUAUUAGAUCAAAACCAAUCGGCGGCAGUAUAUUUAGUUUCGGCUAUUUAUUACUGUUCGUCGCAAUGUUUGGUGACUCUGAAUAACUUUUGGCUGAUCGCACGGUCUUAGUACCGGCGACGCAUCUUUCAAAUGUCUGCCUUAUCAACUGUCGAUGGUAGGUUCUGCGCCUACCAUGGUUGUAACGGGUAACGGGGAAUCAGGGUUCGAUUCCGGAGAGGGAGCCUGAGAAACGGCUACCACAUCCAAGGAAGGCAGCAGGCGCGCAAAUUACCCACUCCCGGCACGGGGAGGUAGUGACGAAAAAUAACGAUACGGGACUCAUCCGAGGCCCCGUAAUCGGAAUGAGUACACUUUAAAUCCUUUAACAAGGACCCAUUGGAGGGCAAGUCUGGUGCCAGCAGCCGCGGUAAUUCCAGCUCCAAUAGCGUAUAUUAAAGUUGUUGCGGUUAAAAAGCUCGUAGUUGAAUUUGUGUCCCGCGCUGUCGGUUCACCGCCCGCGGUGUUUAACUGGCACGUUUCGCGGGACGUCCUGCCGGUGGAUGUGUAUUCAGUGAGUUCCUCCCUUCAUUUUAUUCCCCCCGUACUACUAAAUAUAUAUUCAUUGGGGUAUGCAGUACAAGUCUCUAUGUUUAUACUCUGUACAUAUUGAGAUUCAGUUUAUCUGUUUCUUCUAUAUAUGCACGUAUAUUCGUAUGCUCGUAUGUUAGUAUACUGAACAAACUGAUGCUUUAUAUAUGGUACGUGGUGUUUUACGGAUGAUGAUGUGUUUUGGGGUUCCACUGUUUAAAUACCAUCCGACUAUAUAAUCCUGUCGCGGUGCUCUUAAUUGAGUGUCGAGGCGGGCCGGCACGUUUACUUUGAACAAAUUAGAGUGCUCAAAGCAGGCUAAAAUUUUGCCUGAAUACUGUGUGCAUGGAAUAAUGGAACAGGACCUCGGUUCUAUUUUAUUGGUUUUCGGAACGCCCGAGGUAAUGAUUAAUAGGGACAGAUGGGGGCAUUCGUAUUGCGACGUUAGAGGUGAAAUUCUUGGAUCGUCGCAAGACGGACAGAAGCGAAAGCAUUUGCCAAAAAUGUUUUCAUUAAUCAAGAACGAAAGUCAGAGGUUCGAAGGCGAUCAGAUACCGCCCUAGUUCUGACCAUAAACGAUGCCAGCUAGCGAUCCGCCGACGUUCCUCCGAUGACUCGGCGGGCAGCUUCCGGGAAACCAAAGCUUUUGGGUUCCGGGGGAAGUAUGGUUGCAAAGCUGAAACUUAAAGGAAUUGACGGAAGGGCACCACCAGGAGUGGAGCCUGCGGCUUAAUUUGACUCAACACGGGAAAACUCACCAGGCCCGGACACCGGAAGGAUUGACAGAUUGAGAGCUCUUUCUUGAUUCGGUGGGUGGUGGUGCAUGGCCG